GGUAGAGAUGGGAAACUGUGAAAGCGAUGGGAACUAUCUGGAAUACAGGAUUGAGCGAUCUAGCAGAUACUUAUGAACUUCUGAAGCUCGGUUGUUCAGAUUAUCAUGGAUGAGAUGAUAAGGAAGCGCCUGAUAUAGCUUUCAAAAUUGAAGUUGGGUCGCCGAAUUGAGGCCAAGGCCCAUGUUGUUCUGCAUUUUUACAGAUGGUCUUCUGUGAUCAAAUUGGCGUCUCAAUGUAAGGACUGAAGUGAUAUAGUUAUCUUGUUUCAGUUGUUUGCUUUUGCUUAUUGAUAGAGAUAAUUAUUCCCUAUUCAGUAGAGAUGCUGUCCAAUGAGAGAGUGUCCAUGGCGAUUUUAUCCCGUCCACCCAGCAGUAUGAAACGAGCACACACAUAUGUGUUCUAUUCCAUCCACCUAAGUUUAUGAAUCGAUCUUUCUUCAAGAUAUUUAUGGAAUUUCACCGGUUUCUAUGAUUUAGUGUUG